AUUGAACGCUGGCGGCAGGCCUAACACAUGCAAGUCGAACGGUAACAGGAAGCAGCUUGCUGCUUCGCUGACGAGUGGCGGACGGGUGAGUAAUGUCUGGGAAACUGCCUGAUGGAGGGGGAUAACUACUGGAAACGGUAGCUAAUACCGCAUAACGUCGCAAGACCAAAGAGGGGGACCUUAGGGCCUCUUGCCAUCGGAUGUGCCCAGAUGGGAUUGGCUAGUAGGUGGGGUAACGGCUCACCUAGGCGACGAUCCCUAGCUCGUCUGAGAGGAUGACCGGCCACACUGGAACUGGGACACGGUCCAGACUCCUACGGGAGGCAGCAGUGGGGAAUAUUGCACAAUGGGGGCAAGCCUGAUGCAGCCAUGCCGCGUGUAUGAAGAAGGCCUUCGGGUUGUAAAGUACGUUCAGCGGGGAGGAAGGGAGUAAAGUUAAUACCUUGGCUCAUUGACGUUACCCGCAGAAGAAGCACCGGCUAACUCCGUG
rnacentral:rRNA from 1 species